rnacentral:rRNA from 1 species
UACGUAGGUGGCUAGCGUUGCUCGGAAUCACUGGGCGUAAAGGGUGCGUAGGCGGGUCUUUAAGUCAGAGGUGAAAUCCUGGAGCUCAACUCCAGAACUGCCUUUGAUACUGAGGAUCUUGAGUUCGGGAGAGGUGAGUGGAACUGCGAGUGUAGAGGUGAAAUUCGUAGAUAUUCGCAAGAACACCAGUGGCGAAGGCGGCUCACUGGCCCGAUACUGACGCUGAGGUGCGAAAGCGUGGGGAGCAAACAGG